rnacentral:rRNA from 1 species
AAGCCAUGCGAGUCAACGUAGCAAUACGUGGCACACGGCUCAGUAACACGUAGUCAACAUAACCAAAGGACGUGGAUAAACUCGGGAAACUGAGGCUAAACCGCGAUAGACCAAGACACCUGGAAUGGUUUUUGAUUGAAAUCUAUAUGGCCUUUGGAUUGGACUGCGUCCGAUCAGGCUGUUGGUGAGGUAAUGGCCCACCAAACCUAUAACCGGUACGGGCUCUGAGAGGAGGAGCCCGGAGAUGGGUACUGAGACAAGGACCCAGGCCCUAUGGGGCGCAGCAGGCGCGAAACCUCUGCAAUAGGCGAAAGCCUGACAGGGUUACUCUGAGUGACUUUCGCUAAGAAAGUCUUUUGACACCUCUAAAAAUGGUGUAGAAUAAGGGGUGGGCAAGUCUGGUGUCAGCCGCCGCGGUAAUACCAGCACCCCGAGUGGUCGGGACGAUUAUUGGGCCUAAAGCAUCCGUAGCCGGCCUUACAAGUCCCCCGUUAAAUCCAACUGCUUAACAGAUGGGCUGCGGAGGAUACUAUAAGACUAGGAGGCAGGAGAGGCAAGCGGUACUCAGUGGGUAGGGGUAAAAUCCGUUGAUCCAUUGAAGACCACCAGUGGCGAAGGCGGCU